rnacentral:piRNA from 1 species
UUGAUGGUAAUUGAAAGAGCUUUUUGGGUGAA